rnacentral:rRNA from 1 species
UCCGCCUACGGGGGGCAGCAGUGAGGAAUAUUGGUCAAUGGGCGGAAGCCUGAACCAGCCAAGUCGCGUGAGGGAAUAAGGCCCUACGGGUCGUAAAGCUCUGUUGCGGGGGAAAAAAGGCAGCAUCAGGAAAUGGGUGCUGACUGAUGGUGCCCCGCCAGAAAGUCACGGCUAACUACGUGCCAGCAGCCGCGGUAAUACGUAGGUGGCGAGCGUUAUCCGGAAUGAUUGGGCGUAAAGGGUGCGCAGGCGGUCCUGCAAGUCUGGAGUGAAACGCAUGAGCUCAACUCAUGCAUGGCUUUGGG